rnacentral:rRNA from 1 species
CGUGUAGGCGGUUGGUCAAGUCUGAUGUGAAAGCCCGGAGCUUAGCUUCGGAAGGGCAUUGGAAACUAGCCAGCUAGAGCGCGAUAGAGGAGGGUAGAAUUCCUGGUGUAGCGGUGAAAUGCGUAGAUAUCAGGAGGAAUACCGGCGGCGAAGGCGGCCCUCUGGCUCGUUGCUGACGCUGAAACGCGAAAGCGUGGGGAGCAAACAGGAUUAGAUACCCUGGUAGUCCACGCUGUAAACUAUGAGUACUAGAUGUUCGGGGUGUUGACCCCCUGAGUGUCGCAGCUAACGCAUUAAGUACUCCGCCUGGGGACUACGACCGCAAGGUUAAA